GAGAGGGGGAGAAGAUAGGGGGGAUGAGAGUGAAAAUGGAUGGAUUUUUUUCUCCUUUAAAACGGAGAAAAGAUGGAAGGGGUAAAAGACGAAUGGGGAUGUUCUGCUGCAACCCUGAGCCUUUCUGAAGACCAAGACUUGCCGGUGUGAUCCAAAUCGUAUUUAUA